rnacentral:rRNA from 1 species
GAUGAACGCUGGCGGCGUGCCUAAUACAUGCAAGUCGAGCGAACGGACGAGAAGCUUGCUUCUCUGAUGUUAGCGGCGGACGGGUGAGUAACACGUGGAUAACCUACCUAUAAGACUGGGAUAACUUCGGGAAACCGGAGCUAAUACCGGAUGAUAUUUUGAACCGCAUGGUUCAAAAGUGAAAGACGGUCUUGCUGUCACUUAUAGAUGGAUCCGCGCUGCAUUAGCUAGUUGGUAAGGUAACGGCUUACCAAGGCAACGAUGCAUAGCCGACCUGAGAGGGUGAUCGGCCACACUGGAACUGAGACACGGUCCAGACUCCUACGGGAGGCAGCAGGAGGGAAUCUUCCGCAAUGGGCGAAAGCCUGACGGAGCAACGCCGCGUGAGUGAUGAAGGUCUUCGGAUCGUAAAACUCUGUUAUUAGGGAAGAACAUAUGUGUAAGUAACUGUGCACAUCUUGACGGUACCUAAUCAGAAAGCCACGGCUAACUACGUG